rnacentral:rRNA from 1 species
AUUGAACGCUGGCGGCAGGCCUAACACAUGCAAGUCGAACGAGUGGCGGACGGGUGAGUAAUGACUGGGAAACUGCCCGAUGGAGGGGGGUAACUACUGGAAACGGUAGCUACUACCGCAUACCAUCGGAUGUGCCCAGAUGGGCUUAGCAAGCAGGUGGGGUAACGGCACACCUAGGCGACGACCCCUAGCUGGUCUGAGAGGAUGACCAGCCACACUGGAACUGCGACACGGUCCAGACUCCUACGGGAGGCAUCGGUGGGGAAUAUUGCCCAAGGGGCGCAAGCCUGAUGCAGCCAUGCCGCGUGUAUGAAGAAGGCCUUCGGGUUGUAAAGUACUUUCAGCGAGGAGGCGUUACUCUCAGAAGAAGCACCGGCUAACUCCGUGCCAGCAGCCGCGGUAAUAC